GACGAACGCUGGCGGCGUGCUUAACACAUGCAAGUCGUACGGUAAGGCCCUUUCGGGGAUACACGAGUGGCGCACGGGUGAGUAACACGUGAGUAACCUCCCCACAACUUUGGUAUAACGCGAGGAAACUGGUGCUAAUACUGUAUAUGUUCUCCUUCUGCAUGCGGGGGUUGGGAGAGCUCCGGCGGGUGGGGGUGGACUCGCGGACUAUCAGCUUGUUGGUGGGGUAGUGGACUACCAAGGCGGCGAGGGGUAGCCGGCCUGAGAGUGUGACCGGCCACACUCGGACUGGGCUACGGCGCAGACCAGCACGGGAGGCAGUAGGGGGGAAUAUUGCACAAUGGGGGAGAGACGGCUGCAGCGACGCCGCGUGCGGGAUGACGGCCUUCGGGUUGUAAACCGCUUUCAGCAGGGACGAAGCUUCUUGUGACGGUAGCUGGAGAAGAAGCACCGGCUAACUACGUG
rnacentral:rRNA from 1 species